GUCCCGGCCGGUGGCCGGCGGCGGUGCACGCUUCGCGGCAGGGCAGCGGCAGCGGUUCCGCUGGUUUCUCCCGGGGAAGAAACCCCCCCAGCCCCGCGACAGGUUUCUCCGCGCCGGCCGCGGCUGUGCGUCUCUGCGGCCACAGGAGGAUAGAGACUGGGAAAAUAGCUGAUUGUGAGUUUAUCUAAAAUGAACAGAAUUGUCUCUUCAGACAGAGGGCCCAGAACGUGUAUGGAAAAGAGAGAAAGAAAGACCUAAAAUCUGAGAACGUGUGGAUACAUUUGGCUAGAAAGAUGAAUAUGAGAAGAGUCUCUGAGAAACAGACGUGGCAGUAUAUCAGGGAAAAAGAAAAGGCAACUUAACAACUGCUAUGAUAGGCUAAAGAAGAGCAUUCUGUAUUAACUAUUUACAGAAUACUAAUUUGGAAGAGAAGAAUCAGCCCCUUGGGUCUUCCAACAAAUGAGAGCUUGAUGCAAGAAGAACUUGGAAACAUUUGGUAGAGCCACAUGCGACUGAUGAAAAUAUUCACCCUAAGCACACAAAACAGGAAUGUUAAGAUUUGCUGGAGAUGGGACUGAGUUGCAGCAGAACAUGGUUUUAUCAGAACUCCAGAGACCCUUCCAAUGGAAGUUGUUCUACCAGCACAAUCACUCUGAAGACCUUAAUCCAAAUUUCUGCAAUAAAUGAAAAGAGUCAAGACUCAGGGUUUUAUAACCAGUUCCUCAGCACGAACCUCCUGCCUGACUUCAAGCAGAGCACCAGUUACUGCACCUGCUAAACUGUUAAGAAUGGGAUCACCCUUGUUCCUGUUGAUGCCUGCUCGUGAUCUAGACGCCAGGACUCAAGCAGGACUGAGGGACAUGUCAGGCAACACAAGUGGUAAGAGGCUGGAUCGUCUUUCUUCAUCUCCUCGCUGCCUUCACAGGAUUUGAAAGUGUGACAAAGUAUUUCAUCCCUUUACAGAAUUAGAGAUUUCUAACCACCUACAUGUGGAGAAGAAUUUUUUGAAGUGUCUGUCUCUUGCUGAUUUAAAUGUAACUAGGUACCAGGGAGCUUUGUGGAUUCAAGCCAUUCUCAAAGGGUGCAUGGCAACGUCCAGCGUGCUGUCUGGUGAGGAACAGCAGAGUGAAGCACUCUGGGUGUAGGAUGCGGAUUGCCUCUCACUGAGGUGCUGCUGGCUGGUUCACUGCCUGGUAAAAGGUGUCUAAGACCUGAUUUAACCUGAAGCAUACACUUUCUCAGGAGGUCUGCAACAGGGCUGAAGAAUUGCAAAUGUUGCAUCCUUUCCCUCCUGUCAUCUGCUUCCACGUGAGUGCAGUAUCUGUGCUGUGCUCUCAGCUCACUCACCCUGAAACGCUCCUUGUGAUGGAGGUUUGUACUGAGCUGGUACAGAGCGGACUUUGCUUUUGGUGGCAGUAUCCCUUGUUACCAUGUCAUUCAUGGAGAAGAUGGGUUUAUCCUUGCUUUUAUUCUGGGACCAACUGCUCUACACACAGGAAUCAAAAGUGGCAAAUCUUCUAUACCCUUUUUUGUUUUUCAGUUGAAGGUCUACAUCACAUGAACGUCUUUGGGUUUUUUGGAGAGGUAAAGCUUUUUUUAAAAAAAACCAAACCAGGUUGAACCCAAGUUGGAUAAACAACUGCAUCGUGUGGCUGAUACACUGCAUUCCCAUUCCAUCUGGUCUUGUACAUCCACUCCCUGUACCUAUUAAAUGUGAUAGCUGUUAGGCGUGAGACCCGGAGAUGGGAAGGACUACUUUGCCAUGUAGACAUUCACCUGAUGGCCCCAUCCUAUUUUCUAGAACCAAAGAUUUCACUGUGAUAGUGCACAUCUUAAAGCAUUGCAGGAGAUAGGGGGAUGUAACUGCACUUGACCUGAGUUUGGAUUACUCAUAUCUCAUAUCUUCGAGUUUGUUAGUAAAUACCGAAGUAUACAAUCAAUGGAAAUACAACCUUCUUAAUCUGUAACUACAAAAACAAGAAAAGGACAGUCUUGAAAAUCCAGCAGUCUUUCAAAUCAUCUUAAGGCAUAUUGACCCUGAAUCAUCACAGUGAAAUUCAGCAGGUGUGUUCCUAUUAGUGAUCUAAGAAUGUAGAUGGGGUUGAAUACACGGAAAACUGUAUCUUGUUCCAGUUAUCUCUAUUACUGCAAUAAAUGAUACUAACUCUCUCUC